UAGGGAAUCUUCGGCAAUGGGGGGAACCCUGACCGAGCAACGCCGCGUGAGUGAAGUAGGUUUUCGGAUCGUAAAGCUCUGUUGUUAAGGAAGAACGAGUGUGAGAAUGGAAAGUUCAUACUGUGACGGUACUUAACCAGAAAGGGACGGCUAACUACGUGCCAGCAGCCGCGGUAAUACGUAGGUCCCGAGCGUUGUCCGGAUUUAUUGGGCGUAACGCGAGCGCAGGCGGUCAAUUAAGUCUGAUGUGAAAGCCCCCUGCUCAACCGGGGAGGGUCGUUGGAAAAUGGUUGACUUGAGUGCGCAUGAGGGUAGUGGAAUUCGAUGUGUAGCGGUGAAAUACGUAGAUAUAUAGUGGAACGCCAGUGGCGAAGGCGACUCUCAGGACUGAAACAUAAGAUGAGGCACGAAAGCAUCGGUAGCCAACAGC
rnacentral:rRNA from 1 species